AGAUUAUUCCAUUAAUCCAAACAAAAUGACCAUCUUGGCCUUGAAAUUUUUUCAAAAGCCCGCCCACCCACUCAUCUCUCUCCUUCUUUCGCUAUUUGAAAUCUAAUUUUCAAAUCAACUUACUCUUCUCUAGUUCUUCUCUCCCUCUCUCAGCUCUCUCUCUCACACCCACACUACAUUCCACUUGCAACUACAAGCUUCCAUUUCCUCACCGCACCACUCUCCCUAACCUCCAGUUCCGACCACCACAAACCUCGACAGAUACUGCCUAGUGUCUCCGCUGAACAUCGUCGGUUUCAACAAAAUUGGCCUUUGUCUCAUCAGAAAACCCCCAAACUCUUCUCUUUCUAGCAUCACCACCCAACACCGGAAGCUUUCUUGUUGCUUUCAACACUCGUUGUCACAAUAAGACAAAUGCUUUGCAGAUACGUUGGUUAAAAUCUUGGUCUUGAACAACUUCAUUUUGUGUGUGAAGGUUGUUGAGUGCAGUAUAUGUGGUUUCCCUAAUCUCGUACUUUGUUUUGCCUUCAUUGAGUUUUGAAGGACCCUACUACAAGAUUCUGAAGUAUGAUGGAUAGCAUUUUUGGACAAUAUUUUAUUGCAAUUGGCACAGCUAGGGGACAACAUUUUGGACUAAUAUUUUUUGGAUAACAUAUUUGACUUGGACAACUUUUUAGAUAGCAUAGCUGAAAAUUUAGACAAUUGAUUACUUAACUUGUAGCAAUUCUUUUGGAAAAUUGUUGUAACUAUUGAAGUUACUUAAACAUGAUGGAUUCUUUGUAUUAGUAGCUUCUAGUUAAAUUCUACUUAUUUGUGCAAAUAAUGAAUGUUUUUAAUGCAAAGGUAGAAGAUACAAAUA